rnacentral:tRNA from 1 species
GUGGGUAUAGCUCAGUCGGUUAGAGCGCCAGAUUGUGGAUCUGGAGGUCACGGGUUCGAGCCCCGUUAUCCACC